UCCGACGCGUUUAGGUUGUUUUAGGAUGGGGAUGAUGGGAGAUGUUUGUGGAUGAUGAGAUCACUCCGCGGGGAAAAAUGCUCCCCCUUCUUCGAGGGUUGUUCGAUAACCCAUUGUAAUAACUGCUGGGGAAUUGAGGAAGUGGUUACGUUGCUUUCGAGUGUUUAAUUGACUGAGGAAAGUGUGUGUCACUAAGUGAUUGGACUGGUUAUAUGUGUACAUGGUCACGUUUUCCAAUUUUCAGGUGAAACAGUAGGGUUUGUUGAAAUUGAUGACGUGAUAAAUGAGAAGAUUUAAGCACGUGUAAAUUUGAUUCUGUAAUAGAAAUAAUUGUUUAUAAGAAUUGCUAUCGAAGAGUUGAUCAAGUUCGUUGAAACUCAAGGAAGCCACUGUGAACAACACGAGCACCUAGUAUAAUCGACCAUCUCGCGUAAACUUGCUGGCGAGCAACGUCGUUUAGGUUUGCCAAGCGCACUCGGCGAUAUUUUAACUUAAAUCCAGUUUCCAUGGCACAGGGUGAGAGAGGGAUGAGGUCAGAACCGUGAGUAUCCCCACUUUCGUUGUUUAAGUUACACAGUGUUUCCCGUAGGAUCGUGUAAUUGGAUCCUGGAGCACCUUACCUGGUGAGACACCUGCCGGCAUUAAUCUCUAAGACCCUUACUCUGAAAGGAUCGCGUUAAACUGGUGGGAGAAUAAUCACCUUAAGAGCUUAUAAGUAUUUCAACUUAAUUACACGUAUUUUUCAACAAAAGCUCUGCCUCCGGCUUUCGACUGAAAGAGACUAAUUUUGAGCUAUGAAAAUUC
rnacentral:misc_RNA from 1 species